rnacentral:lncRNA from 1 species
CACGGUCCUGUCUCCUUGCCAGGGGUCUCCAUAGCUGCACCAAGAUCAAAAUUUUAUAAAUGAGGUUAGCCGGAUGCUUAAACAUCUCUGUGCUCGUUAUUUGGUUGGUUCGUUGUGCAUCACAACCGUCCAGUCAGUGUAGUCAAGGUUGUAUCCAUCGUGUAUUUCUGCUUUGCUUUCUCUGAAAAUUCAUGUCUCACACAAGGCCGGAUAGCCACAUGAGUUCGCUGAUGCCAACUUUUGCCUUCAAUGCUUCUGAUUUCACCCUUCUCCGCAUUCAAAUAAACCGUCCUACCUACGCAUGCUGCUGUUCACAUUUUGUAACUCCCAUGUUGUCAUCAGUGACUUCCCCACCGCUAGAGUGAAUUACAGAAACAAUCGAAAAUGAAGUUUAGGGUUGCAGGAAACACAAGCCCAUAAAUUCGUGCUAAAAACAACUAAUUCUGGGCCUUAUUUUUUUUUUCAAAUAACAGUAGUUGGCCUCUUUGGCCGUUGUGAUGAGGAUUAUGAAAAGGUGGGACCCGCAUUUGCCGACGUGAGAUCUGCCAUGGUCCUAACCGUGCGGGCAUGGAUCCGCCAUGGUCCCUGGCAUCCUAGAUCCGAUGACCUUUGCUACCAGAGGCCCUAGAUCCGGCGAACUUCGUCCCCAAACCAUGCGGCCAUGGAUCCACCAUGCAUGGUCCCUGGCCUCUCCUGGAAGGCUGGAACAGUGACCAUUGCCACCAGAUGCCCUGGAUCCGACGAACUUCUUCUACCAUGAACCGCUAUGCCAAGUCGGCAAAUCCAGGUCCCACUUGUCAUAAUCGUCAUCAAAACGAUCAAAGAGGCCAACUAGUGUUUUCUUGCAAAAACAAAUAGACGCAGAAUUAGUGGUUUUUGGCACAAAUCUGUAGACUUGUGUUUCCUUCAACCCUAGACUUCAGUGUCGAUGGUUUUUGCAAUUCACUCCCAUUGCUUGGACCUGCUAGUUUAAUCCUAGUGAGAACAUCCUGAGAUGUACGUCUUGGGAGGAUCCCAUACCACAAGAGGAUGAUAAUCAUGAUACACAUGUGGUGCAUAAAAAGUCCUUUGUAGCUGAAGAUGCCCGCGGCCCUAUUAUUGCAUCAAUCAUCACAGCUAUUUGAAAGAAGAACAAAAAUCUACCAGACAAAUGUAAUGUUCUUUAAGCAUUUGGUUAUCUCAUGUUCAACCCAUCAACCAAAUUAUGGACAUGCACAAGUCGUGAUGCAAGACCUGCUUUGCGUUUGCUUGAUCUAUGAUUCGACUCUCUCGCUUCCCUGUUAAUCACUCAUCACUAACAGGUCAUCGACGAGAAUCAACACUAACGGCUGGCUUAUGGUCGGUCAUCGUUGAGGGGUACUAUUGUAUUCCCAAGUUCUUAGUUGUGGGAAGAAAACCAACACUUUGGUUGAUGGGUCCUGCAAAAGCAAAAGCAAUAGUCCGCGAACACAAGAACAACCCGGUGAUACCUUUUGUAGCCGGAAAACUCUAGCCUUCGGUAGUACUACCUCUGUCCUGGUUUACUAGUGUUUGACCAUAAAUUUAACUAUUAAAAUAUAAAUUAUACUAUCUAACAAAAAUAAAAUAAUUGAGAACUACAUCCAAAUAUAAAUCCAAUAAUAUAUUCCUUCUGGAAACAAACAUAUGACGCUUUAGAUCUACGACGAUCAAAAUUGGACACAAAAUACGAAAGGGACUGAUAAACCCAGAAGGAUGUAGUAUAUAAACAAAGGCUUGCGAGAGGAUCGAGUAACUCCAACAGACCCGGCGGCAAGCAUAAAACUAGGGAGAUCAAUCAAUGGCGGCAGCUCUUUGAUUUGCUGCGAGAAGGAUCUGCGGUCGUGCCCUUCAGAGUCUCCAUCAACCGUAUUUUUCAGUGGUUUCCGGAGCUACCUUCAAGGAGGAACAGCGGCAGCUGUUGCCUAGUUUUAUGCAUGGCAGGAGCCCUCUUUCCAGGUUCUCCGCCGAUUCUCAACUAGAAUGAUCUAAAUUUAUUUGCAUCAUGGAGUCGUAUCCACUGCAAUUCCGACCAGGUCUUCUCCAUUAACCAAUAAUGCACAAACCCCGUCUCCUCCACCACUAUAUGGUAAUUAUGCACUACCUAGUUUAUAUAUACUCCCUCAGUUCGAAAUUACUUGUUUUGGAUUUGUCAUGAUAUGGAUGUAUUGAUCUAGCUACAUCCAUAUCAUGACAAAUCCAAGACAAGUAAUUCGAACGGAGGGAGUAUAUGUUUCCUUGUUAUUAACUUAUAUUUAUAAAUUUGUUCUGAACUUGUUUUUUAUUCCUAGGUCGCCUAGGAACAAAAUGUUCUUACCCAUUGUUGUUGGGUACGUAACUCAGAUGUGUGCAAUAAUGUCUACAAUACUUUACCGGAAUGCCGGCCCUUUAUUGGAUACAUGGUUAAGGUUCAGAUGUAUCAACCUACGAAUCUGUAUGCUUCGGAAAGAGCAGAAUAAUUGGAGUUGUGGACGCAAGAACUGUGAAAGUGACUCUAGAUGCAGAUGUAAUAAUUGAAAGUGAUUAUAGUAUCUAACUUGUUGAACAAUGGUUAUGAUGAUUCGGUAGUGCUUGUCAUCUGUCUGUUUU